UACAGAGGUCCCAAGCGUUGUUCGGAUUCACUGGGCGUAAAGGGUGCGUAGGCGGUUUGAUAAGUCUGAUGUGAAAUCCCGCAGCUUAACUGCGGAACUGCAUUGGAAACUAUUUGACUAGAGGAAUGGAGGGGAGACUGGAAUACUUGGUGUAGCAGUGAAAUGCGUAGAUAUCAAGUGGAACACCAGCGGCGAAGGCGAGUCUCUGGACAUUUCCUGACGCUGAGGCACGAAAGCCAGGGGAGCAAACGGG
rnacentral:rRNA from 1 species